rnacentral:ncRNA from 3 species
UAAAAAGCGGUGAAGGAAAAUAGUAAAAAACAGAUUGUAUUCAGAGAAUGAGUGGAUGGUGAGAACUCAUUACAAUGGUUUUUGAAUCUACUCUAGAGCUUCUAGUUAAAGCUAGACGGUUUACCUACGUUAUAGGUCUGAGAGGAUUAUACGUUUUAGUAUAAUCAAUUAGGGUGGCAACGCGGAUAAAAGAUUUUCGUCCCUUUU